rnacentral:rRNA from 1 species
AAUAGCGGAGGAGAGGCGGAGGUAUCAUAGGCGGAGGAAGAUGCGGAGGAGACCCGUGGAUGAGGAUCCCUUCUUGGAGACUUGAUGGGUUCGCCCACCACUAGGACAAACAUAAACCUUUUGUAAUUGCAAUCAGCGUCAGUAACAAAUUAAUAAUUACAACUUUCAACAACGGAUCUCUUGGUUCUGGCAUCGAUGAAGAACGCAGCGAAAUGCGAUAAGUAGUGUGAAUUGCAGAAUUCAGUGAAUCAUCGAAUCUUUGAACGCACAUUGCGCCCUUUGGUAUUCCAAAGGGCAUGCCUGUUCGAGCGUCAUUUGUACCCUCAAGCUUUGCUUGGUGUUGGGCGUCUUGUCUCUAGCUUUGCUGGAGACUCGCCUUAAAGUAAUUGGCAGCCGGCCUACUGGUUUCGGAGCGCAGCACAAGUCGCACUCUCUAUCAGCAAAGGUCUAGCAUCCAUUAAGCCUUUUUUUCAACUUUUGACCUCGGAUCAGGUAGGGAUACCCGCUGAACUUAAGCAUAUCAAUAAGCGGAGGAAGA